AUGGCGACAGGGGAGGGCAGGGAAGCAACGCGGUCGGGGGUGGUGGCGAUGGGUGGAUCAACCGGUUGUAGUUGGCGGUUCAGUAGGAGGAAGAGACACGACAACGUUCAUGUCGAAUUUGGGAGAAUCAAGAAAGAAAGAAAAGAAGAGCGCUUCAAGGGUAAAAAGGUAGUUGCCGAUGCAUCCCAUCGUGCAACAUGCUCCACUUGUAGAUUUAUCUUCCCUAUGCAUUCAUCGGCUGAUACAUCUUGUACGUCAUCGACAAAGAGGAAUGUGUUUGCCUAUUUUGUUUUUCAUUUUAUGCUCUGGUGGAACGGUAAAGAAUUGGUCAAGCCGGUUUGCACGAAUGGGGUUUCCCUAAUCCCAGCCGACACCAUGCCACCCCGUCCUCCAGGCAGCCUCGGCCGCGGCCGCGGCCGCGGGCUCGGAUCCCCCGUCGCCAACCCCGUGCCAACCAGUCUCGGCGCCGGCGGCCGUCACCUUCCGCGCCACCGCGUACUGCACUUUGAUGUUCCCAUCAUCAACGGGCGAGAGAUUAUUUCAGUCGAUUCGAAUGGGCCACUCACCGCAGCUCGUUCUAGCUCGGACGACGGGCCAGUGAUCUUUGUGGACGUAGAUAUGGACGGGAGCUUCUUGACGGACCAUGAUAUUCCUGGCGAACCAUUUGAAAGCAUGGACCAACUCAUCCACGCGGCCAGUGUCCACUUGCUCGUCGCCUCCUGCUGUGAUCUGUCUCGAUAUGAGGGAGGCACUGCAUCUUCACAGAUGCCUGUUUCAGAACUCCAGCAUCUCCACUAUGAAGCAACCUGUGAUCAGCCGUAUGACCACUACGCCUCCUCUGUGUUAUUUAUUCCUAGUCUACUUGAUACCCAAUUGAUUUGUUUAUCGGUUCAUCCCCCAAAACCAUUUGUUGUUGUGCUGACCUUGCCUGCUUGUUUCCAUUCAGCUGCGAGGCGGAGGAUCAUGCGCCUGCAUGCUCACAAACACCACCUUGUGAAGUCAGUGUUUUGCAACAGGAAGCGGAAGAAAGUAGAUUUAUGGCAUGGACAGGACCUCUCAUCCUCGAAGGACUUGCUCAACACUAUAACAUUGCAGGAAUCAUCCACUGCGACUUCCUCGUCCUCUGUGCAGAUGCAGGCUCAGCCUUGGUGCUGUCUUUCAUCAUCACCUAUUUGGACAUUGGCCCAGUUUGAUUGGGGAAUCAUAUUUUUCACCAGGGUCGACCUGAAGGGUUCUUUCCACACAAAUCCUCAUGUGGGUGGGUCAUUUCAGAGCUUACAGGAUGCUUACAAUGCUAUCGACCUUUAUCUAAAGGAACAUCAGGAUCCAACAAUGUUCACUGGUGUUUCUCGACUGGAAAGGGUAGUAAGGCUAUCUCUUAACUAUCCUGAUGGCACAAGGAAGAAGCUUUUGGAAUCGCAACAAAUGGAUGAAAGGCGUGAUUGGAAGCGCCAGUUGGUUCAAACUUUGGUGGACAAGCAUAAUGAUUACCACCAUCUUUCAGGGGAUCUUGCAUAUGAACUCAAAGAUGUUGUGUGCUUGAAAUCAGUUGCUGGGGGCAAUGGCCAUAGGUACUAUCAUAUCAAUUUGACUAUGAAGACUAAAGGAGCUGAUGAUUCUAACUGUGGUGGCGGAGAUCUUUUCUUUGCUGAGUUCAAAAUCAAGGGGGGAGAAUAUGUAGAACUGGUGGUCAGCUGUUUCUGCAUGGUUGAACCUACUGACAACGGUAUCGUGUACUCUUCUUUUGACCUACAUAUCUUUCAAAUAUCUCAUCACUUAUCCUUGAGCGCAUUUGGAAUAUCUCAAACUGGUCCUUGUGGCAACCACCCCAACAAUUCUGCUGCAUAUACUGGCGCCAAAGCUAGCUCUCAGUGUGUAUGUUCUCUGUUUGGUAAUAUGGGAUUGCCGGUCCGCGACGAAAGCUUGGAAGAGGAGGAAAGAAGGGUAAGGCGUUUCUACGAGACCCAGGGUCUCGAUGAUCCGGAUUUCGUGGAGAAAGAGAGACCGAGGGCACAGAUACCAGUCAAACCAUUCAGCCCUGCUGAUUGUCAAAGCGAGCACAAACCAAACAACCAUGUCGCUUCCUUCAAGUUUUACCAGCAGGCUGCAGGUUUUGGGAUGGAUGGAUUGGCUUCCUAA
rnacentral:rRNA from 1 species